rnacentral:rRNA from 1 species
UGAAAGUGGGGGACCGCAAGGCCUCAUGCUAUAGGAGCGGCCGAUGUCUGAUUAGCUAGUUGGUGAGGUAAAGGCUCACCAAGGCGACGAUCAGUAGCUGGUCUGAGAGGACGAUCAGCCACACUGGGACUGAGACACGGCCCAGACUCCUACGGGAGGCAGCAGUGGGGAAUUUUGGACAAUGGGCGAAAGCCUGAUCCAGCAAUGCCGCGUGUGUGAAGAAGGCCUUCGGGUUGUAAAGCACUUUUGUCCGGAAAGAAAUGGCUCUGGUUAAUACCUGGGGUCGAUGACGGUACCGGAAGAAUAAGGACCGGCUAACUACGUGCCAGCAGCCGCGGUAAUACGUAGGGUCCAAGCGUUAAUCGGAAUUACUGGGCGUAAAGCGUGCGCAGGCGGUUGUGCAAGACCGAUGUGAAAUCCCCGAGCUUAACUUGGGAAUUGCAUUGGUGACUGCACGGCUAGAGUGUGUCAGAGGGGGGUAGAAUUCCACGUGUAGCAGUGAAAUGCGUAGAGAUGUGGAGGAAUACCGAUGGCGAAG